CGUAGGGACCAAGCGUUGUUCGGAUUUACUGGGCGUAAAGGGCGCGUAGGCGGCAAUUCAAGUCAGCUGUGAAAUCUCCGAGCUUAACUCGGAACGGUCAGCUGAUACUGUUUUGCUAGAGUGCAGAAAGGGCAACCGGAAUUCUUGGUGUAGCGGUGAAAUGCGUAGAUAUCAAGAGGAACACCUGAGGCGAAGGCGGGUUGCUAGGCUGACACUGACGCUGAGGCGCGAAAGCUAGGGUAGCAAACGGGAUUAGAUACCCCGGUAGUCCUAGCCCUAAACGAUGUAUGCUUGGUGUCUGGAGUUUUUAUCUCUGGGUGCCGUCGCUAACGCUUUUAGCAUACCGCCUGGGGAUACGCUCGCAAGAGUG
rnacentral:rRNA from 1 species